rnacentral:tRNA from 1 species
UAGUUCAGUCAGUUGAGCGUGAUGCUGAUAACACCAAGGUCACGGGUUCAAUUCCCGU